CCCCUCGCCUCCUCUAGGUUCGCUUUCUCCAGCUUACCAACCAGUGCUCAUCAUUCUGCCAAGAGGUGCAUGGAUAGAAUUUACAUAUGUUUAAUAGAAAAAGGAAAAGAUGUGAACAUCAUCUGUCUGUGAAGGAUUAGCUACACCUAGUUACCACCCUUAGCUACUAGUUACUAGUUACCACCCUUUUUGUGGUUACUUGGUUUUCUUGAGGGAGACCUAAAAACUGAAUGCCAGAGGCAAACAACAAAAAAUAAUGGGUUAAUAGAAUGUCCACAUAGAUAAAAUCAGAGAGGGAAACAUAAAAAAUACAACAGCUGAAUUGUACCCAAACUCCAGAAGAACAAAGGCUGACAGAAUCCCCAGAAGUGUAAGUGUGCCAGGAUUUACAGCCCACAGCAGCACACUUUACGAACAGCAAGCAGUUCAAUUUACCCUAUUACUUAAAUAACUCAGUAAGGAAUCUUCUGGUUUGGGGCUAGUGUAGCAAUAAAAUCUUUCUCUGCACUAUUCUGAGAAUGAACUUUAAUCCAUUUCUUAUCUCCUGCUUGAAAAUGAACAUCCUUUCUAUUCUUAUCAUGUUUCUGCUUUUUCUUGUUUUUUUUUUUUUUCCUUUUGGAUUUUUGAGCAUUAGCCAUCUUCCUCUUGGCAGAUACACGGAGUUGUUCCUGCUCGGCUGUUUGUUGUGCUGAGUUACCUUUGAAAUCCUUCCCUCUUUUUAUGACUACACUCCAGAGGCCCUUUUAAUAACUGGCCCAAGGCUAAUACUUCCAUGAAAGCCAAGCUUGCUGUGAUACACAACCUGCUUUCUCCUCAGCUUCUACAAAUCUUUCACUGGGAUGCAACAUAGUGCAUGGUUCUCUAACAAUUUCUGCUCCUUCAACAAUGGAUCUGCCUCAUGCUGUCAGCUAAACUGGCCUCGGAUCCGGUGACAGCACAGACAUUAUCUACUUCCUUACAUCUAGUGGAGAUAAAACAAGUGUUGUUUUUCCAUGUAGGCGCAUCUGGGAUGUCAGCGCUGUCUUAUGAUCUUGGUUUCAUCAAGCCAUCUUUGUUGCAGUUUGAUGUACCGUGUACUAAAGCGCAUCUUGAAAUGCCUCUGGUUUGGAACACGGACAUUUUUAUGUAUGUAUCAGCCCACCAUCAAUUUAGAACAAGCUAUCCUUUAAAAUAAAAGGUCUCUCCUUCAGAUUAUAGCAUUUUCCUGAUGUAGAGAGGUCAAACGCAAGGCUGUAUUCCCUAAAAUGCACCUUUGAAGGAUAAGACCGUCGGCGUGGCUAUUGGCACGUGGGCAGCACGGGGCCGUGGGGAUGGAAAUGGCCCCACUGUCGUGUUUUUGGAGUGAUUCCACGAAAAAUAUUCUUUUUAAUUAAACUGGAGGGCUGAUUUAUUGGACCUGCGGUUCGGACUUUGCUGUGCUGAAGGGAUUUCCUUGCAUUUCUUUCAUGGUGAUCAUGGUGUUCUCAGCUGGUCAAAAUAACUCCAGCAAAUCUGAGGAGUUGAAAGAGCUUGUGGGUGUUGUCAUAGUUUAGUUUGGCUCGAGUACUCCUUUCAAUUUCUGAAAAAACUUCAGGCUGAUAAUAAGGAGAAAUAAAACAGAGUUUUUGGACUGGAUAUAAGGAAGAAGUUUUUUACAAUAAGGGUGGUGAGAGGCAAUGGCACGGGUUGCCCAGAGAGGUGGAUGCCCCAUCCCUGGAGACACCCAAGGUCAGGCGGGACAGGCUCUGAGCACUGAUGGAGCUGUAGGUGUCCCUGGGGAUGUCGGAUAAGGUGACCUUUAAGGAUCUCUUCCAACUCAAACCAUUCUACUGUUCUAUGAAAAAAGUGCUUAUUUUCUUUUUUAUUAGUUGGAUGGGCAUUUCACGGUUGUUUGUUUUUUAUCAUAUCCAACUUGGUGAGCAGUACCAUCUACUCCAUCAGGCUCUCACUGGAUUCAAGCUGGCUUCUGUGGAAUUUGGGUGGGGUUUUGAGUGUGUGGAUUUCUUCUAGAAUGUUGUUUUUAAAGCAGAGUAAGCACUUGUAAGAAUAUUUGCUGUCUGAUGUUUUACCAUUUGCUCUCUAAGAGAAGCAAGACUUAUUUCUUGGAUGCAGUAGUAGUGCAAAUUUGUUUAUCUAUACACACAAGUACUGAUUGAAAAUCUGGAUUAGAAAUGAGCUCUGCUUCAUUCCUUCAAGUCUGUGUGUCUGCCUGAUGAUUUUUUUAGUUUUUAUAUUAAGUCGCAUUUGACACUAUGGAGUGAGAAUUUACCACUGUAAUUUAAAUUAUUGUUUGAAUUAUUAUUAUUUAGAAUGUAUCAUUAUCAUUAAUUCCAAAGUUUAUGUUUGCAAUAGUGUUUAACUGUAGCAACAGUGAUUCCUGGUCACAGACAGAAGGUGGAUGUUUUCAGCAGUACAGGCCUGCCUGAUUGGGAAGGUGGUUUCCAGACAGCAGGAUGCCUGCAGUAACACAGGAAGUGCUACAGCUGUAUUAAUCUGGAAGAACAUCAAAGUAACUUGUGACACUGAACUUGGGUUGGAGAUCUCUCUCCUAGUUUCUUGGAAACAGCUGCAAAUGUUGUGAUGAAAUCGCCAGGGCUGCGUUUUGGAGCAUGCAUACAGAGGGGCUUUGGAUGAAGCAGGCUUUUGGUGCACAGCAGAUGAUUGCUGAGCCUCUUACUACUGCUGAAAUGAUUAUUUCUGAAAAUAGAAAGAAAACAACAAUUCUGCUGAUACGACAGAUUUCUGUCACCUUACCAAGAAGGCAAAAGCAAGUGGCUAUAUUUCCCUCUUAUUCUGUUUGUAAUCCUUAAGAAGCAGUUUUGAUUUCAUAAGAUGAUUUUACUUAAUCUUAUAUGCUACUUGUGGUAACUUAGAAGAAGGAAAAUAGUUUUUGUUCUAAUGAUGUGUGUAUUCCCUUCCCUCCAUUUAAUGCUCUAUUUUCAUGAACUUUUUUCUGGAUGUGCUAGAACUUUUUCCCCCUUCAUUUUGAAGACCUCUCUUGUAUUUCAUUUAUUUUUCAUUUUUACGGAGUUUUGGACCUAUAAAAAAACCAAGCACUUUAUAGCGAAGGCUGUGUUGAUAGAUAGUGACCAGGGACAUUCAAAGCACACCCUGCAGGGAUGCUUGCUUUCAUUCAUGCUGCAUGUAAAAGGAUUUGUUUUCUUUUCACCCUUGAGUUCACGGUAGAUGCUUUUCUUUUAUCCUGCUAUAAAACAAGAGUAGGUAGGAGAUGGACAUAAGCCAGGAGCCAUUGUUUUGGUGAUCAGAGCCUGCGUGUGUUCCUGGGGUGAACCAGGAGCUGCCUUCCCUACUGUGCAUCCUGCUGCUUAGAGUGUUGUGUGGAAGGUGAAAGGUGUUCUGAACUUCUUCCACUGAGCCGGCUGCACUCGGAGUUCUUGCUAUUUUGUCACUUAGGUGACUGUUAGAGCACCCACUGGUUUUCUUUACUUUUAAAGAAAAGUG